rnacentral:rRNA from 1 species
CAGUCGCCGCGGUAAUACAGAGGGUGCGAGCGUUAAUCGGAUUUACUGGGCGUAAAGCGUGCGUAGGCGGCUUUUUAAGUCGGAUGUGAAAUCCCUGAGCUUAACUUAGGAAUUGCAUUCGAUACUGGGAAGCUAGAGUAUGGGAGAGGAUGGUAGAAUUCCAGGUGUAGCGGUGAAAUGCGUAGAGAUCUGGAGGAAUACCGAUGGCGAAGGCAGCCAUCUGGCCUAAUACUGACGCUGAGGUACGAAAGCAUGGGGAGCAAACAGGAUUAGAUACCCCUGUAGUCCCUGUAUCUUAUAC